rnacentral:rRNA from 1 species
UACGUAGGGGGGCUAGCGUUGUCCGGAAUCAUUGGGCGUAAAGCGCGCGUAGGCGGCCCGGUAAGUCCGUUGUGAAAGUCAAAGGCUCAACCUUUGAAUGCCGAUGGAUACUGCCGGGCUCGAGUCCGGAAGAGGCGAGUGGAAUUCCUGGUGUAGCGGUGGAAUGCGCAGAUAUCAGGAGGAACACCAAUAGCGAAGGCAGCUCGCUGGGACGGUAUUGACGCUAAGGCGCGAAAGCGUGGGGAGCAAACAGG